UCCAUGGUUUCCUCCCCGCGCCGAUGAACGAAUCACCACCCACCGUCUCUUUUUCAAGCUCGCUGGCAACCGAACCGCAAUCCUCUCUCCCUGAAGCUCGCUACGGCCGUUGCCAACAUACAUACACUGCCCCGGCUCCGUCGGCUGGCUGCGCUCGCUCCCCAAGGCGUCAAAACCCUAGCUUUGCUUAAUCCUCUGACGCACUCCUCGAUCUCCCUCCCACCGCCGCUUUUGGCCGAGCGGGGGGCUACUUAUUGGCUCACAAAAGCUAAGCUUUUCGGAUCUGAUCUUUUCGCAGCUCAUUUUCCUAACGUUGGUGAUAUGUUCCUCUGCAGGCUCGGUGAGAGCUCAUGGAGGAGGAUAGAAGGAGAGCGUUAUAAUUCGCGUGUUGAUUUUGUAUAUCAUGACGAGAGAUUCUAUAUCAGGCGUUUCUCUGUAAUCUCAGUUUUUGAUGCGCAUGCUCUUAAGAAAAUCAGGGAGGUUUAUGUUCCGUCAGGCUCUAUUCGUGAUUACCUCGUUGGAUCCCCGCAGGGGGUUGUUGUUGUUUGUGAGGAUGGAGCCUGGAAAGAGUAGGACGUUUGAAGUGUUUCGGUUGGAUUCAAGUGAUGAGAAUGAAGUUUUGGUUGAGUUAACUAGCAUGAGUGAUAAUGUGUUAUUUGUGGAUGGAGUUCAAACUAUGGCUUUUUGUGCUGGAAAAUUUGAGGGUUGUAGAGGGAAUCACAUUUACUUUGUGGAUUAUCUUGGUGGGGACGCUAAGGGGCUGAAGCUAAUUGACAUAGAGAAGGGUCAGAUUGGACAAGUCCCGUUAUUUCCCUUUACUCCUGAAAGGAGUUAAGGAACUGCUGCCUGGGUAGUUCCGAGUCUUAGAUACUGAUUUUGCUGAAAUGAGGAAGACUCUUCAUCAGGGUCGUGUUCCACCGCGAAUCCGGGAUGAUUGAAUUUAGAUCGUGGUUCACUAUAGCGUCUCACAUUCCCAACUUCUAUGCUUGAUGGACUGAGAUCAUACUCCUAGUGAGGGCAAUUGCUCGGCCGCAUGGGAAAAAGGCUCGUCCAGGGUCUACCAAUGGUUGUUGAUGGGCAUCAUCAGAAUUGAAAGGGGUGCAUAAACAGUAAUACUGUACUGUUCCUGCAUAAAGAUAAGCACGCGUUUCAGUUGCUUGUGAACAAUAACCAGGCUCGGUGAGAGCUCAUGGAGGACAUUUGAAGGAGAGUAUUUUUAUCCAGAUAUUGAUUUUCUGUAUCAUGAUUGGAGAUUCUAUAUAUCAGGUGUCUUGACAAAAUCAUUUCAAUUUUCGGUGCGCACACACUUGACAAAGUUGGGGAGAAAUUAGUUCCAUCAGUUAUGGGCUUGACGGCUUUUGAUUAUCUUGUUGAAUCUACACGGGAGGAGUUGUUGGUGGUGAAAAGGGAACUUGAUCGAUAUAAGAGUAAUAAGAUAUUUAAGGUGCUCUGGUUGGAUUUAAGUGAUGAGAAAAUAGUUUUUGUUGACUUGACUAGCAUAGGUGAUAAUGUGCUAUUCGUGGAUAAUGUUCAAGCUAUGGCUUUUUGUGCUGGAGAUCUGGAGGGCUGUGAAAGGAAUUGCAUUUAUUUUGUGGAUAUUCUUGGUGAGAAGAAGGGCAAGGGGCUGCUUUUAUUUGACAUAGAGAAGGGCCAGAUUGAACAAGGACCGUUGUUUUUGUUUACUUGUGAAGGGCAAGGGCUUCGAGUGGGUAGUUCUAAUUCUUGGUUAGUGAUUUUCUUGAAAUGAGAUUUGAAAUUAAACAAAACGAAGCAUUGCCACUAAGAAUGCAUCGACCUCUAUGAUAUGAACAAUCAGCUUACCCAUCUCAUUCAGUUCCUGGAGAGCAUCAGUUUGGUUCUAGAUGAAACCAAGAGGAACAAAGAUAUUGUGUCCGGCAUUUAUAUGCAAGUAAGAUGCAGCUACUGACACAAAUGUUGAUGUCGCAAGAGGCUUCGUCCUUUGAGAUGCUUGCAGUUGCAGCCACGUACUGCUCUAUUUGAGAUCAUAUAUAUGCAAAGCAACCAGUGAAAAGAAGAUAUUUUUGAAGGGAUGCUAGAGACUUGAGGCGAGCAUGCAAAAAAUGCUUUUCAGAUGAAAGAGUUGAAAGCCUUUUAUUGACCUUUACUCCUUAUUUAUUUAAAUUGUACAUGCCAAGGUUUUAAAUAUCGGAUAUUGAGGAAAUAUCAGACAAUCAAAAUCCAUGUUGGAUUGUAGAUAUUGGAGAAAUAUCAGUAAUAAUAUAACACAUAUCCGAGCGGCAUAUUGGAUGA